GUUGAAGUAUCUAAAGCAUGAGAAGUCUGUCACAUGCUUCUCUCUCCUCCCCGCAACAUAGACAAACACAGUUCCAAGCAAAAGGAGUGAGAACAGUUCCUUCAACUUCGAAAUCCUGUGCAAAAUUGAUCAAGAUCUACAUAUUUUCAUAGACAUAAGCAGUUCUGUCUUGAAGGAUAAAGGAAAUUUAGAUUCCUCUUUCUGACCAGUGACUGCCAUAUAAUCAGGAGAACCCAACAAUUUCAG
rnacentral:lncRNA from 1 species